rnacentral:rRNA from 1 species
GGGGAAUAUUGCACAAUGGGGGAAACCCUGAUGCAGCGACGCCGCGUGAGUGAAGAAGUAUUUCGGUAUGUAAAGCUCUAUCAGCAGGGAAGAAUAGGUCAUCAGCCUUUGGCUGGUGACAUGAAUGACGGUACCUGACUAAGAANCUCCGGCUAAAUACGUGCCAGCAGCCGCGGUAAUACGUAUGGAGCUAGCGUUAUCCGGAUUUACUGGGUGUAAAGGGAGCGUAGACGGCAGGGCAAGUCUGAUGUGAAAGUCCGGGGCUCAACCCCGGGACUGCAUUGGAAACUGUCCGGCUAGAGUGCAGGAGAGGUAAGUGGAAUUCCUAGUGUAGCGGUGAAAUGCGUAGAUAUUAGGAGGAACACCAGUGGCGAAGGCGGCUUACUGGACUGUAACUGACGUUGAGGCUCGAAAGCGUGGGGAGCAAACAGG